GGAGAGGUCGCAUAGUGGCCUAGUGCGCUCGCUUGGAAAGCGGGUAUAGCCGCAAGGUUAUCGAGGGUUCGAAUCCCUCCCUCUCCG
rnacentral:tRNA from 1 species